rnacentral:rRNA from 1 species
CCUACGGGUGGCAGCAGUGGGGAAUAUUGGGCAAUGGGCGCAAGCCUGACCCAGCAACGCCGCGUGAAGGAAGAAGGCUUUCGGGUUGUAAACCUCUUUUGACAGGGAAGAGUAGAAGACGGUACCUGUCGAAUAAGCCACGGCUAACUACGUGCCAGCAGCUGCGGUAAUGCGUAGGUGGCAAGCGUUGUGCGGAUUUACUGGGUUUAAAGGGCGUGUAGCUGGGUUGACAAGUCAGAUGUGAAAUCCUGCGGCUUAACCGCAGAAUUGCAUUUGAUACUGGUGAUCUUGAGUACAGUAGAGGCAGGCGGAAUUCGUAGUGUAGCGGUGAAAUGCGUAGAUAUUAGGAGGAACACCAGUGGCGAAGGCAGUCUGCUGGACAGCAACUGACGGUGAGGCGCGAAAGCGUGGGGAGCAAACAGGAUUAGAUACCCGUGUAGUC